AAGUCACGUGGUUGUUAAGGCGGUUUCACUUUCAUUCUGAGUGAUAAAUCUCUGUAAAAACCUAACAGCGUUCCUGAUAUCUCUCGUUCCUCCGGCUGAAGUUAGAAGGACAGCAAUAUGGAUUUACAUAGGAUUUUCUGGGGAUGCUUUUCGUGUUUCCUUGCUGUUAUUGCUUGUUUAAUCUGCAUACUCCAAUCAAUUUGUGGAUUUCUGGCUAAUCUGGUAUUAAUUCUAGCGAAGUGGAUUUAUGUCCAGUUUUCGAAGCCCAGAGUACAAUCCCUACAGCAGGAUGAAGUGGAUUACGAAGAACAACAAGGUGAAUUUCCCCACAGACUGUGGAGACAUUUGGGGAUGUUCGUGAAGACCAGGGACAGUGGAGAUUUCUUCAGGACACAAAUGUACUGGAAGCCUUAACAAAGCUUUUACAAGACAUCACGACAGCAUGGUUUUAACUUGGAAAUGCAUAUUUACUGCACGGCUCUCUUAAAGUUAAUCAAACAUACACACAAAAAACCCAGCUUGCUAUGUUACUGAGAAACCACGUUCUGAUGGAUGGUGCCAGAUGGGCUGGUUUGAGUAUUUCGGAAACAGAAAAUCGAUUGAUUUAAUCUCCAUUCUCUGAUUUCCAGGUAUUGACGGAUUUUUUUGGGUUCCAAAAAGGAUGGUCAAAAGAGAUCAGAUUCCACAAGAUGGUCAUUGGAAAUGACAUGAAUUGUCACAAGGCCUUUUUGAGCGGUCUGGGUAUCAAUCGCCAAGACGCCGAGUUCUCUGCGGAUCAGAGUGACGUCAUCAUCGCUUUCGUCCCUAUUGCCUCUCGAGCUGGAACCGACAUCGUUGCUGCGCUUGAGAAGAUACCAGAAAACCGGCCUGUUGUUUUCGUGGCGCUCCAUCACACGUUUGAUCGGAAUUGCGUCGUUCCAGAGAGCAGACGAAAUAUUAGCAGGAGCAACGUGUUGGCUGUGGACUGUCUCUUUCAUGAAGACCAGGGAUUGCUGGAAUGUCCUUGUAACACAGAGGCACUGAAAGCAACAGUAAAGUAUUUACAAGACAUCAAGAUGAAUUCCAAAGUGUCAAGAUGGUUUUAAAUUGGAAAUGAUGUUUAAUCCUUGACGUUUUAUUGCCCCGUACCUGAUUACGCCACUGUAGCUCUCGUUGUCCGGACAUAAUUACUUCAUGUUAAUUAGAUUGUUUAGAUUAGUUGCUUUAGAUUGUUUAGACUGGCCAAAUUCUGUUUGAGGUCUAUAUUCGGGUUGCUGCCAUAUUCCGAAUUCGAUGUUUAUAUGCGCAUCGGAAUAUUCCUGUCUCUCUAAAACUACCGAUACCUGAUGUACUUAUAUUCUUCUGUAUGCUUUCCUGUAGUAUUUGAAAUAAAACCACAUUAACAAUCCCA